AGAGUUUGAUCCUGGCUCAGAGCGAACGCUGGCGGCAGGCCUAACACAUGCAAGUCGAACGGAUCCUUCGGGAUUAGUGGCGGACGGGUGAGUAACACGUGGGAACGUGCCCUUUGGUUCGGAACAACUCAGGGAAACUUGAGCUAAUACCGGAUGUGCCCUUCGGGGGAAAGAUUUAUCGCCAUUGGAGCGGCCCGCGUAGGAUUAGCUAGUUGGUGGGGUAAAGGCCCACCAAGGCUACGAUCCUUAGCUGGUCUGAGAGGAUGAUCAGCCACAUUGGGACUGAGACACGGCCCAAACUCCUACGGGAGGCAGCAGUGGGGAAUCUUGCGCAAUGGGCGAAAGCCUGACGCAGCCAUGCCGCGUGAAUGAUGAAGGUCUUAGGAUUGUAAAAUUCUUUCACCGGGGACGAUAAUGACGGUACCCGGAGAAGAAGCCCCGGCUAACUUCGUGCCAGCAGCCGCGGUAAUACGAAGGGGGCUAGCGUUGCUCGGAAUUACUGGGCGUAAAGGGAGCGUAGGCGGAUAGUUUAGUCAGAGGUGAAAGCCCAGGGCUCAACCUUGGAAUUGCCUUUGAUACUGGCUAUCUUGAGUACGGAAGAGGUAUGUGGAACUCCGAGUGUAGAGGUGAAAUUCGUAGAUAUUCGGAAGAACACCAGUGGCGAAGGCGACAUACUGGUCCGUUACUGACGCUGAGGCUCGAAAGCGUGGGGAGCAAACAGGAUUAGAUACCCUGGUAGUCCACGCUGUAAACGAUGAGUGCUAGUUGUCGGCAGGCAUGCCUGUCGGUGACGCAGCUAACGCAUUAAGCACUCCGCCUGGGGAGUACGGUCGCAAGAUUAAAACUCAAAGGAAUUGACGGGGGCCCGCACAAGCGGUGGAGCAUGUGGUUUAAUUCGAA
rnacentral:rRNA from 1 species